rnacentral:rRNA from 1 species
CGUGUAGGCGGUAAUGUAAGUCAGACGUGAAAUCCUUUGGCUCAACUGAAGAACUAGCGGUCUGAAACUGCAUGACUAGAGUGCAGAAGAGGGAAACGGAAUUCCUGGUGUAGAGGUGAAAUUCGUAGAUAUCAGGAGGAACACCGGUGGCGAAGGCGGUUUCCUGGUCUGACACUGACGCUGAGGCGCGAAAGCGUGGGGAGCAAACAGGAUUAGAUACCCUGGUAGUCCACGCCGUAAACGGUGGGUACUGGGUGUGGGAGGUGUAAUGCCUUCUGUGCCGAAGCUAACGCGUUAAGUACCCCGCCUGGGGAGUACGGCCGCAAGGUUGAA